AGCUUCGGCUGAUUUCUAAGAUGGACAGCGGCGAAAGGGAGAGUAAUGAGUGGAUUACCUACCCCCAGGACCGGGAUAGCUGUGGGAAACCGCAGGUAAUACCGGAUAAUAUCUCCGGAUCAAAUGGUGAGAUUCCGCCAGGGGAUGGGUCCGCUUCCUAUUAGCUUGUUGGUGGGGUAACGGCCUACCAAGGCAACAAUGGGUACCGGGUGUGAGAGCAUGGCCCGGCUCACUGGGACUGAGACACUGCCCAGACACCUACGGGUGGCUGCAGUCGAGAAUCUUCCGCAAUGGGCGAAAGCCUGACGGAGCGACGCCGCGUGCGGGAUGAAGGCCUUCGGGUUGUAAACCGCUGUCAGUUGGGAGGAAAUCUAUGGGGGUUAUCCCCCAUAGUUGACCUAUCUUCAGAGGAAGGACGGGCUAAGUUCGUGCCAGCAGCCGCGGUAAGACGAACCGUCCAAACGUUAUUCGGAAUCACUGGGCUUAAAGGGUGCGUAGGCGGCUUGGCAAGUUGGGUGUGAAAUCCCUCGGCUCAACCGAGGAACUGCGCUCAAAACUGCCAAGCUAGAGGAAGAUAGAGGUGAGCGGAACUAAUGGUGGAGCGGUGAAAUGCGUUGAUAUCAUUAGGAACACCUGUGGCGAAAGCGGCUCACUGGGUCUUUUCUGACGCUGAGGCACGAAAGCUAGGGUAGCGAACGGGAUUAGAUACCCCGGUAGUCCUAGCUGUAAACGAUGAGCACUAGGUUGGAGGCUCCUCCAUAGGUUUCCGACCGAAGACGAAAGUGUUUAAGUGCUCCCGCCCUGGGGGARGAAU
rnacentral:rRNA from 1 species